AUGGUGGUAAAAUUUGAUAAUUGUCACCGACGGGUGGGUCUUUCUCCCUAUCAAGCGAACCAUCACCUUCCAAACCGUUCCCUUCUUCUUCGUGUGGGAGAGUAGUCCUAAGUAGCCAAAAGAAGAAGAAGGGCACAACUCCAAGGGUUUGGAAGGUGAUUGUUUGCUUGAUAGUGAGAAAGACCCACCCAUUGGUGAUAAUGAGAAAGACGCAGACAU
rnacentral:pre_miRNA from 1 species